GACGAACGCUGGCGGCGUGCUUAACACAUGCAAGUCGAACGAUGAUGCCCAGCUUGCUGGGCGGAUUAGUGGCGAACGGGUGAGUAACACGUGAGUAACCUGCCCCUGACUCUGGGAUAAGCGUUGGAAACGACGUCUAAUACUGGAUAUGAUCGCCGACCGCAUGGUCUGGUGGUGGAAAGAUUUUUUGGUUGGGGAUGGACUCGCGGCCUAUCAGCUUGUUGGUGAGGUAAUGGCUCACCAAGGCGACGACGGGUAGCCGGCCUGAGAGGGUGACCGGCCACACUGGGCCUGCGACACGGCCCAGACUCCUACGGGAGGCAGCAGUGGGGAAUAUUGCACAAUGGGCGAAAGCCUGAUGCAGCAACGCCGCGUGAGGGAUGACGGCCUUCGGGUUGUAAACCUCUUUUAGUAGGGAAGAAGCGAAAGUGACGGUACCUGCAGAAAAAGCACCGGCUAACUACGUG
rnacentral:rRNA from 1 species